GAAAUUUGUGUUAUUCAGAUUUUCUUUCAAUAAAAAAAUAAAAUAAAUUAAAACUAAGAAAAUUAAAAACGAGAAGAGGAAUUAGGGUUACGCUGAUUUGUGACCAUUGAAGUCCUCGGAACUCAGGCUUCUUCUCUUUCAACGGCGCCAGAAUGAUCUCCACCUCUCCGAUCGAUUUUCGCUGCCAUUAAACGAACAACAAUCUUAUCUCAUCCUUCUCUCUCAAUCGUUCUCAGAUCAACUCUUCGGUUUUCUUCUUGUUGCAGAUGAAAUUACGAUAGCGAUGAUGGCGAUUGAAGCAGGUGUCGCAACGAAGGUCGAAUAGAGAUUAAUUCGAUGAUGCUGCAAAGUCGAAGUUCUUCGUGGAAUCUUGAUGCGUGGCUGAUUUCUUUGGUCGCGAGGAGAUGAAGCUGAUUGGAGAUCGAUGGUGAUUACGUGAUGGAAGUUGUUGCAGUUGAAGAUUGAAUGAAGCGCAGAGUUGAGGAUGAAGAUUAUUGCAGUGAAUCAAACGAUGUAAAUGGAGUAGAAGAGGAAGAUGCUAAGGCGUUCGGUACCUUCUUCAAUUGCAAGCAAAAUUAAUAGAAAACCAGAAGUCUCCGCCACUUUUGUUUUCGUCUUCUGCAUUUUCGUGUUCUAUAGGAUGUUGUCAUUCUUGUGAUGCAGUGGCGGCGAUGAAGAUGAACGUUGAAUUGUUGUUAUGCAGGUUUCAGUGAGGAUGAUGAUGAAGAUCCGAUGGAGUUACUAUGAAGAUUCAAUGAGAUUGAAGAAUGGAGAGAAUUUGGUUUUGGAGAUUGAAGAUGCAGAUGAUGAAGGAGUGAAGAUUGGGAGAAAGUGUGGAGAGAAGAAGGUUCAGAGGAUGAUGAUUGAUGAUGAAGAGGAAAAGAUGGAGGGUGGAGAGUGGAAGUGUGAAUCUGAAAAAUGAAUGGUGAAGAGUGUAAGUAUGAAUCUGAAAAUGAAUGGUGAACCCUGAAUUCAGAGAGGGAGCUCAGCUAUAUAGGGAUUCAAAGCAGGUUUGGCAUGAUGGAAAAAGGUUUUCAACAUGAGCAGUGAGGAAAACCAUAAGGAUGGAGGUCACUUCGAUUCGGACACCAGCACUAGCAUGGCAAUACUCUUGAAAGUAUGAUGAAUUUGAAGAAAAGAGGGAAUAUUUCCAGAGGUGAUUUUCUUGUGUAAAUGCAAUAGAAAAUGUAGUGCAAUAUAAUAGAAUAUAAUGUACCCUUGGAUUUUAGAUAUGUCAUGAAGUGUAACUUGUAAUGAGAUGGAAAUGACUUCUUUUAUUCUUAUAAAAUCUUAAACUUCUUUUC